rnacentral:ncRNA from 1 species
GUGGGGGACGGUGACCCCAAAGGGGUUCUCACUUCUGGCGUUAAGGUACAGUGCCAGGUGGGGAGUUUGACUGGGGCGGUACACCUGUCAAACAGUAACACAGGUGUCCUGAGGCGAGCUUAGGGAGGACAGAAACCUCCUGUGGGGCAGAAGGGCUAAAGCUCGCUUGAUCUUGAUUUUCAGUAUGAACACAGACUGUAAAAGGGGGGCCUCACAAUCCUUCUAAUCUUUGGGGUUUUAAGCAGGAAGUGUCAGAAAAGUUACCACAGGGAUAACUGGCUUGUGGCAGCCAAGUGUUCACAGCAAUGUUGUGUUUUGAUCCUUCAAUGUCAGCUCUUCCUAUCAUUGUGAAGCCGAAUUCACCAAGCGUUGAAUUGUUCAUCCACUAAUAGGGAAAGUGAGCUCUUGCCUCAGGAAAGGCUGUUGUAGUAUCCUGC